UACGGGGGGGCAAGCGUUGUUCGGAUUUACUGGGCGUAAAGGGCGCGUAGGCGGCGCGACGAGUCACUUGUGAAAUCUCCGGGCUUAACCCGGAGCGGCCAAGUGAUACUGUCGUGCUCGAGUGCGGAAGGGGCCACCGGAAUUCUCGGUGUAGCGGUGAAAUGCGUAGAUAUCGAGAGGAACACCUGCGGCGAAGGCGGGUGCUGGGCCGACACUGACGCUGAGGCGCGAAAGCCAGGGGAGCGAACGGG
rnacentral:rRNA from 1 species